GCCGGUGUAGCUCAGUGGUAGAGCAACUGAUUCGUAAUCAGUAGGUCAAGGGUUCAAAUCCCCUCACCGGCU
rnacentral:tRNA from 1 species